GCCCUCAUAGCUCAGUGGAUAGAGCAGCGGCUUCCUAAGCCGAAGGUCGUAGGUUCGACUCCUACUGGGGGUA
rnacentral:tRNA from 3 species